UUUUAAAAAAAAUCGAGAUGGGAUGUAAUUGUGGCUGAAGUAGACUAGAGCUAAGUUUUACUUAACAAAUAAAGACCAAAUUCGACUUUCGACCCAACGUCUGCGUAAUAUUUCUUGCCAAAAUCUCUCUGCGGUCUUCUCUUCUCCUCCAUCUCGGCGAUCUCCUGUCGGAAUCGAACUGUAUGUAUUUUUUCUACAUAUAUCCCCUCUUUCUUUCUAUAUAUUAUUCGACAAAAACUUUUAUCCACUUUUUUCAAUGAAUUUUAAUGGGCACAAUAACACCAAAUAUUAGUGGAUUUGGGUUUGUAAUGCUGUGUUUGUCUCUGCCAAAACCCUUAAACUCGAAUAUUAUUAUAUACGGUUAUAAUGCUGUGAUAUUAUUGGUCAUAUAAUUUUUCAAGUUUAUACUUGCUCUUAUUUGCUUUCGAUUUUAUAUUUGCUCUAGUUUGUAUAAAGUAAGCUUUUUUUUUUUUUUUGGAUGAACGUGGUGUCCUGGUCAGCUUUUGGAUACUUUGACUAAUUCUACCAGACACCCUACAAACUCCCACCAGCAAUAGCUACUAGGUAGCUCUAUCCACAGAGGCUAACACAUGUAAGAAGAAAACACAUAGUGCUGGAAUUUGGGCUUGAGAUCUCAUGGCUCUCAACUAUUUCAUUGACCAUGAGGCCAUACCCUUAAGAAUUAGCUAUAUGAAAACCUAGAUGGGCUUAACCCCAUGGCUUAAUUCAAGUGACACGAGUUGAGGGAUUUGUUAACUAGGUCUCAGGUUUGACCUCUGUUCCGUGCGAAUUAGGUCUGGUAUUUAAGUGGAGAAGGACAGAGGACGGACAGUACCCGUUGUCUUUUGAGUUUUGAAGGCUGUGGGCUCCUGCUGGAUUUCUUGGUCAUUAACAAAAAAAAAAAAAAAAAAAAAAAAAAGAAUAACUAGAUGGGCUUAUACCACACCCAAGUGUGCGAAGGUGCUCCUUUGCUAGUAGAGCAGUAGGGAAAAGUGGGUGUACAUGACUAAUUACUGAUAUGCUCCUCUCACGACCUCUAAGGUAGAGGGACUUGUUACUUAGGUCACAGGCUUGAGCUAUGGGUCGUGUGAAUUAAGUUUGGUAUUUAGUGGAGAAGGGUAGAAGACAGACCCAAUGUCCCGAGUUUUGAAGGCUAUAUAUGGUCCUAAUGGAUUUCUUGGUCAUAAAGAAAGAAAGAAAAAAUAAAGCUUAUAGAAUACCCAGGUGUGUACGGGGUGCUUCGUUGCUAGUAGAGGAGUAGGAAAAAGUGUGUAUACCAUACCUGGUCUUUCACUUGCAUUUUUAAGAUCUAGAUGGUGAAUCACUGAUAGGCUCCCACGACCUCUAAGGUUGAUCUGCCACUGCUGCUUCUUCUGAUUACCCAUGUUUUCUUGCUAAGUACGUGGAAUAUUCACCAUAACAUUUAUGUCUGUUUUCCUUUUGGUUCCCCUUUCGAAUAUUCCGAGAAAUGUCCAAAUUUCUUUUAUUAGUUGGAUGUCAUAGACUCCUGUAGUUCUAUUUUAAGUCUGCUUGAUUCUUUAGCUGUGCAAAAUGUUUGCAUUUUGGUUUCUGGUUGUUAUGUAUUCACUUCAUUACAUUUUGUGCGAUUCCUCUACCCGUCUAAUUGUUUUUUUCUGUAUAUAGUUCUUUUUCCUUGCUUAAUAUAUAGCUUCUCACAAAUUAUGUGCCACUUUUGAGUGUCGAAUUAGGGUAGAAGGUUAGUGCGUGUGGGUGAGUCGCCUGCAGUUAGUUGUGUCUUGGGGUAAUGUUGCUAGUAGUUGUAUAACUUUGCACAUAGGGUGGAGUUUCUAGGCAAGUAUGCCAAUAAGGUUGUUUUACAAAACUAUUUUGCCAAAUAGCCAAAAGUUUGAAAAAAUUGGUCAUACCCCUUAAUUCCACCUCACCACCAACUUUUCCAACUUAACAAUUUCAGCCACAAUUUUUAUAAUAAUUCACUUUAACCCAAUACUUCCAACUUAAUAAAUUCAUCCACAAGUUACACUUCAACCCACAAGUUUCUAAUAAUACACUUCAACCCACAAGUUUCUAAUAAUACACUUCAACCCACUCCAUCAUCCACCAUUAUAUAUACAAAAAUAUCUAGGUUUUUCAAAAAUAUUAAAAAAAAAAUUCAAAAGCUAAACAUAGAAGGUGGGUUUUUUUUCCCUCCAAAAAACUCCGAUUCCGACCACUUUUUCGGCGUUAUUUUCUGACGAUCAGCUGUAAAUCAGUCCACAAACAUCAUAAGCUUGUCCAUUGCAUCCAUUGUUACCCCAUUUGUUUCCUAUCUUCUCAAACACACUUUCCACUAUUGUUAAAAAGCUUUAAAUCACUCACAUUACUCAAAACCACUUUAGAAAGUACAUUACAACAACUCAAGUGACUCCAAGUUCAUUUCUCUAUUCCAUAAACCCAACAAUCAUUGAUUAGAAGCAAUAUUUACAAUUUCAAGUUUUUGUACGAGUAUCUGCGUAGCCAUCGACCCUUCAUUGUCAGUCAUCGGCCGUGCAUACAUCCCGACAUAGACCCUAAGCAUAAUCUACCUCGACCAAAGCUUAAUUCUAGGAUGUCUAUUGUAGAAUUUGUUCUGGUUUCUGGUGAUUUCAUGGGAGAAUGGGUGGAGACUCCCAAAUGUUGGAAAUGGAGAUCAUUUAUCAAGGUGACAAUUCUCAUUCCUGUUCCCCGCAACAGUUUGUACGAUGAAUUCGUUGUAAGCGUAAUGCAGAGCGAGGAUCUAGAUUGCGCGCCGAGCAACGUGGUGAUUAGUUAUCUAAUGCAUUUGAGGGAAAAAGUGAAUCCUACGAUCAUAAAUAAUGAUGUACGUGUGCUAACGUACAUAAUGGAUGCCGAUGCAGAUGGCUUUAGGCCUAUUUUGAGGAUAAAUGUGGUUGAGAGGUCCUUUGAAGGACCGCUGAAUUCAUCACCACCCCCACCUCGGCGCCCGGUAGUUGACGACGAUUUGAAUGAUUACGAGAACGAUGGCGAUCAUCCAAUUAAUAUGGAAGAUGAUUCUAUGCAUAUGGAAGAUGAUAAAUAAGACUGUGGAAUAAGAUCACAACCAGGACACUCAUUCACCGAUGGAACCAAUUUCUAUUGUAGUCAAACAUUCGCCGAUAAGAAAGAGCUGAAAAUGCUACUAGACGCAGCAGCGGCGAGGUAGUCUUUUGAUUAUUAUAUGGAGAAGAGUUGCAUCAAAUUCAUGAAAGCGAAAUGCUUAUCUCGUGGUUGUGGUUGGUUGUUGCGGGAAAAAAAGUACGACACCUUGCAGAAGAAGCUUUCUUGGUAGGAUUGUUGUUAGAAGAAAGCUUCUUCGUUUUUUGCUUAUUUUCGUUGUUCUGGCCGCUGUGCCAAUAUUUUCCAUGUAAAAUUUCUAUUAUUGUGCAAUGAACAAAUUUUAAUAUAAGUAUUUCUAUUUUCAAAUUUUGUUUCCCUCUUUUUGGUUAUUGUUAUUUUUUGUGUUUGCAUCUGUAGUGAAUACAUCUGUAAAUACAUAUCACAUAAAUAGUCUAUCGUCGAUCUUAGACUUAGUCUCACAUCGACCAAACAUAGUAGUCGAUGGUAGAUUAUAUGAAUCGAUGGCCCAUGAGUAGCUUAUAGUUUGAAAGAAAAUAAUUAAAUUAAAAAAGGUUUCAAGAAAUAAUCACAUGAUUUGGGGCUGGUGAAAAAAUAGAAUUAAAUUUAAAAAAAUUUAAAAAGAUAAUAACAUGUUUUGGGGCUGGUGAAAGAAAAUAAUUAAAUUAAAAAAGAUUUAAAUAGAUUAAUCGCGUGUUUUGGGGUUGGUUAAAGAAAAUAAGUUAAUUUUAAAAAGUUUAAAAAUAUUAUCACAUAAUUUAGGGUUUUCUAAAGAAAAUAAUUAAAUUAAAAAAGGUUUAAACACAUAAUUACAUGAUUUGGGGGUGAUUAAACAAACAAUCUAGAACUGUUGGUGACACUUAAUAGAAUGUCAUCGAUGUUGACCCAUGUUAAAUCCAUAUAAAAAAUAUACUUGUGCUUUGAGGGUCCAUUGACUCGCUUGGUCUACCGUAGACUUACACCUUCAGGAGUGCAUAGAUUGAUUUUCUGAUUAUUCGUAGACCAUAUAGUUCUAUGUACACUUCUAUAGAACAACACUUGGAUGUUGUUUAAAAUGAAAUGAAUAAGUAAAUUAAAAAUAAAUAUAGUGUGGGUUUGUACACAUAUGAAGGAGUUUAAACAAGUCACAUAAUCAUAUUAGAACUUAUACAAAUUAGGGAUGGUGAAUUAAGAAAUGUGUGGGUGGGUAUUGGUCGAAACAAACAAUAUCCUAAGUGUAAUGCUUGUCGAAGCACAAAUAUGUUUUGAGGAUGUUGAUUGUAUUUGAUGACUACCCAUUCCACAUACUCCUUCAAUCACUACUCUUCAAUCACAACCCCCAAAUCAAAAGAGUAUGUGGAAUGGAUAGUGGUUGAACAUACUUGUGCUUUGACAAUCAUUACUCUUAGUAUAUUGUUUGUUCGACCAAUACUCAUUCACACACUCCUUAAUUCACCACCCCUAAUUUGUAUGAGCUCUAAUAAUGUUUAUGUGACUUGUUUACACUCCUUCAUAUGUGUACAAACCUACACUACAUUUAUUUUUAAUUAAUUUAUUUAUUUUUAAACAACAUCUAAGUGUUGGUCUAUAGCAGAGGUCUACGCAUAAUCAGGAGAUCAAUCAAUGCACUCCUUAAGGCAUAAGUAUAUGAUAGACUAACCGAAUUGAUGGACCCUCAAAGCACAAGUAUAUUUUUUACUGUAAUAUUUUUUAUUUAACAUAUUAUUGAGGGUCCAUCGAUUACGACUGUCCAUGGUAGACUUUGGUAUCUCGUUGAUGGCUGACAUAGGUCAUGAUCUACGACAGUCUAUUAAGUGUCACCAUCAGUUUCGAAAAAAAAAAUUAUUGUUCCAACAGUAAUAAACAGCUACUUUUGUAAUCCAUUUGUGUUAACACUUCAUUUUUACUUCAUAUAUAAGGUGUCCAUCCCACAUUAUUUUAUUUCAUUCACUUUGUUUUUAUUUAAAAAUUCUACAAUGUCUCGAGCAUCUCAGACAUCUAAUUCUAAAAAUAUUCUAAUUUUUCACUGUAGGAAUUCGGCUGUCUUGAGGACGUCACGCGCGGAUUCAAAUUCAGGUCGCAAAUUUUAUAAUUGUGCAAUUGCGAAGGUGAGUUGUAUGUGUAUUUUUUAUAAAGUUAAGAUAAUCGUUAUGUAAUUAUUAUUUUUUUCUAGGAUAAUGGCACAUGCUUGUUUUUUAAAUGGCUUGAUGAGCUAUCACCUCCAACUAGUCCAUCAACGUUGAGUCUGGGAUCCGAGACAUCAAAUUUUCAAGGUUUGGCAAAAUUUAAUCUACUAUAAAGGCUCCAACAAUGUGAAGAAAAUAAAGAUUUUCUCAAGACUUUGUUCAAAGAAGCCGAAGAACAGAGGGAUCACUUUAAAGUAUUGUUACAUGACACGCAAAUAGAGAGGGAUCAACUAAAACAAAAAUUGAUUUUGACCGAAGAAAAGGAGAAUGACUUAAAAAUUAUGUUAUGUGUUAUAAUGCUAGUAUUCGUUCUUUGGAAAAGUGUAACAUGGAUGUAGUGAUUAAAUAAAUAAUAAUACUUGUAUUUUUUUAUAAUGUUAAUACUAUUUUUGAUA
rnacentral:lncRNA from 1 species